GAUGAACGCUAGCGGUUGGCUUAACACAUGCAAGUCGAACGGUCUUUUAGGAGACAGUGGCGGACGGGUGAGUAACGCGUAAGAAUCUACCCUCAGGUCGGGGACAACCACUGGAAACGGUGGCUAAUACCGGAUGUGCCGAGAGGUGAAAGGCUUGCUGCCUGGGGAAGAGCUUGCGUCUGAUUAGCUAGUUGGUAGUGUAAGGGACUACCAAGGCGACGAUCAGUAGCUGGUCUGAGAGGAUGAUCAGCCACACUGGGACUGAGACACGGCCCAGACUCCUACGGGAGGCAGCAGUGGGGAAUUUUCCGCAAUGGGCGAAAGCCUGACGGAGCAAUACCGCGUGAGGGAGGAAGGCUCUUGGGUUGUAAACCUCUUUUCUCAGGGAAGAAAAAAAUGACGGUACCUGAGGAAUAAGCAUCGGCUAACUCCGUGCCAGCAGCCGCGGUAAUACGGAGGAUGCAAGCGUUAUCCGGAAUGAUUGGGCGUAAAGGGUCCGCAGGUGGCAUUGUAAGUCUGCUGUUAAAGAGUUUGGCUCAACCAAAUAAAAGCAGUGGAAACUACAAAGCUAGAGUUUGGUCGGGGCAGAGGGAAUUCCUGGUGUAGCGGUGAAAUGCGUAGAUAUCAGGAAGAACACCAGUGGCGAAGGCGCUCUGCUAGGCCGAGACUGACACUGAGGGACGAAAG
rnacentral:rRNA from 1 species